GUGCUCGCUUCAGCAGCACAUAUACUAAAAUUGGAACUAUACAGAGAAGAAUAGCAUGGCCCCUGUGCAAGGAUGACACGCAAAUUCAUGAAGCAUUCCAUAUUUUA
rnacentral:snRNA from 1 species